UGUGAGGAGAUGCCAGAGCCCGGGCAGUGCUGCUGGAGCCCCAAGGAUGCAGGAGACCAGUGACCAGUGGAAGAAGGAAGGCAGGCCACAGCCAUGUCAGUGACAGAAAGCCACCUGACAAAGGAGGAGGACAGAGCGUCAGCGUGAGAGUCAGGGCUCCGGAAAGCAUGUGCCAUCAGAGGAGCAGUGGGUCAUAGGACAACACAAUACAAGACAGAGGCCGUCCUGGGAUGUUCCCCAAAGACAACACCUCAGUGAAUAAGCUGAUGUGAUUCCUUUCACACAUUUGUGAACAUCGGUGAUGCACGGCUUCUCCAAGCAUGGUCCCUGCAGCUCUGAGACCCUUCCAGGGGACUGGCAAGGGACUCCCUUGUCCAUCUUCAUUCUGGACUGUGGCCAGAUUUCCUGCACAUUCUUCAACCAAAGCAACAUGUCAGGCCGAAUGCAGACUCAGCUUUGGGGGCCCGGGUAUCUUCCCUCA